AGCAGUAGCCGCGGUAAUACGUAGGUCCCGAGCGUUGUCCGGAUUUAUUAGGCGUAAAGCGAGCGCAGGCGGUUAGAUAAGUCUGAAGUUAAAGGCUGUGGCUUAACCAUAGUACGCUUUGGAAACUGUUUAACUUGAGUGCAAGAGGGGAGAGUGGAAUUCCCUGUGUAGCGGUGAAAUGCGUAGAUAUAUGGAGGAACUCCGGUGGCGAGAGCGGCUCUCUGGCUUGUAACUGACGCUGAGGCUCGAAAGCGUGGGGAGCAAACAGGAUUAGAGACCCCGGUAGUCCCUGUCUCUUAUACA
rnacentral:rRNA from 1 species